rnacentral:rRNA from 1 species
CAGUAGCCGCGGGAAUACGUAGGGUGCAAGCGUUAAUCGGAAUUACUGGGCGUAAAGCGUGAGCAGGCGGUUAUAUAAGACAGAUGUGAAAUCCCCGGGCUCAACCUGGGAACUGCAUUUGUGACUGUAUAGCUAGAGUACGGCAGAGGGGGAUGGAAUUCCGCGUGUAGCAGUGAAAUGCGUAGAUAUGCGGAGGAACACCGAUGGCGAAGGCAAUCCCCUGGGCCUGUACUGACGCUCAUGCACGAAAGCGUGGGGAGCAAACAGGAUUAGAUACCCGUGUAGUCCCUGUCUCUUAUAC